UACGAAGGGGGCUAGCGUUGUUCGGAAUUACUGGGCGUAAAGCGCGCGUAGGCGGCGCGUUAAGUCAGGGGUGAAAUCCCGGAGCUCAACUCCAGAACUGCCUUUGAUACUGGCGGGCUCGAGUGUGGGAGAGGUGGGUGGAACUCCGAGUGUAGAGGUGAAAUUCGUAGAUAUUCGGAAGAACACCAGUGGCGAAGGCGGCUCUCUGGGCCGUAUCUGACGCUGAGAUGCGAAAGCGUGGGGAGCAAACAGG
rnacentral:rRNA from 1 species